rnacentral:rRNA from 1 species
UACAGAGGUCUCAAGCGUUGUUCGGAAUUACUGGGCGUAAAGCGCACGUAGGUGGCGACGUAAGUCGGGUGUGAAAGCCCCGGGCUCAACCUGGGAAUUGCAUUCGAGACUGCAUUGCUGGAGUACGGAAGAGGAAGGCGGAAUUCCCGGUGUAGCGGUGAAAUGCGUAGAUAUCGGGAGGAACAUCAGUGGCGAAGGCGGCCUUCUGGUCCAGUACUGACACUCAAGUGCGAAAGCGUGGGGAGCAAACAGG